UACGUAGGGUGCAAGCGUUGUCCGGAAUUAUUGGGCGUAAAGGGCUCGUAGGCGGUCCAUCGCGUCGGGGAGUGAAAAGCUGGGGCUUAACCCCAGUCCUGCUUCCGAUACGGGUGGACUAGAGGUAGGUAGGGGAGAUCGGAAUUCCUGGUGUAGCGGUGAAAUGCGCAGAUAUCAGGAGGAACACCAAUUGCGAAGGCAGCUCGCUGGGACGUAACUGACGCUGAGACGCGAAAGCGUGGGGAGCAAACAGG
rnacentral:rRNA from 1 species